UGCUCAGAGCACCACUUCCUCUUACGGCAACAGCCACCAGAUCUGCGCUGUGAUCAGCCCUGUAUUCAACCACCUCUCCUGACAAGUGCUGGCAGAAUGUGGCUCCUGUCCCAGCUGGUCCUGGUGGCCUCCCUUUGCAGCUAUACAAAUGGAGGCAUUUUCAUAACACAAUUCAUACCAUCCAUUACCAAGAAAAAAGGAAACACAGCAUUUUUAGAAUGCCAAGUAAAAACAGGUGUCUUAAAGAAAAACGUAAAUAUACACUGGUAUCGACAGAGGCCAGACCAGCCUCUAAAACGCAUUCUGUAUAUUUCCUCAAAUGAAAAUGUGGUCCACGAACAAGGUGUUAGUGAGGAAAAAUAUGAAGCCAGAAAACGACAGAGGGAUUUGCCAGCGAGCCUGAGGAUACACAAAAUUAGUGAGGAUGAUGCUGGGCUGUAUUACUGCGCCUGCUGGGAUCCACUCUCUAACCAGUGUGAUGAAUCAGGAUGGAUCAAGAUAUUUGCAGAAGGAACUAAGCUCAUAGUAACUCCCCCAGAUAAAAGCCCUAAUGAAGACACUUCCCCCAAGCCCAUGAUUUUUCUUCCUUCACCUGCUGAAAGAACACUCCAUAAGACUGGAACAUAUCUUUGUCUUCUUGAGGAUUUUUUCCCUGAUGUUAUCAAGGUAGAUUGGAAAGAGAAAGAUGGCAAAACAAUUCUGAAAUCCCAGCAGGGAAACACCAUGAAGAAUAAGGACACAUACAUGAAAUACACCUGGCUGACUGUGACAGAAAAGUCAAUGGAUAAAGAACACAAAUGUAUUGUCAAACACGAGAAGAAUAAAGGAGGGGUUGAUCAAGAGAUUCUGUUUCCUUCAAUAAACACAGAACUCCCUGCUAUUAAUUCUACAGAAGCUUCGCUGAAAGAUGAAAAUGACCCCCUACAGCUGCAGCUAGUGACCAGCUCUGCCUACUACACCUAUAUCAUCCUCCUCGUCAAGAGCGUGGUCUACACCAUCAUCAUCGCCUACCGUCUACUUGGGAGACCAGCACUCUGCCGCAAUGAGAAGAGUUCCUAACCCAUGGUGGCCCAAGGCUCCACUUUUCUUUACUGGCUACUGUCGCUAACGGUGUCUGCUGAGGCUCUAGCGGGGCUUUCUUUCUGGGUUUGGGUUAUUUCAGUUCACAUGUCUUUUUCUAUGUGUCAUCAUUGCAGAACAGGCUUACAAACCACUGGGCAAACGGGAAAUGUCACUCUGCACCAAGAACAGACUCUGCCAUGAGUCAGGGGUGGAGCCGGGGGGCACUCACGGGGGCUUCAGCACCACUCUCUCCUUCACGCCCACCAGCCCGUCAGCCACCCAGCACCCUCACCUCUGAGUAUAGCCGGCGUGCAGCUUCCAUCGCGGCCCCUGGGGCUCUGUAUCCAGAUAACUGCCUGGAGGCCUUUUAUUUUACAUACAUGGAAGCCUUCAUCCUUGCUGCCUGAACUUUGUGCUGUUUUUCAUAAUAGGCACAAUAAAAACAAUCAAAAGCCUACAUUUGCCUCUGUGUGUUUUCAUUCGGUGAAAU